rfam:Ictidomys tridecemlineatus contig050835, whole genome shotgun sequence.
GGGGUUGUGGCUCAGUGGCAGAGCGCUUGCCUAGCAUGUGUGAGGCACUGGGUUCGAUUCUCAGCACCA